CUUUCACUUUGGCAUGUGGACACAAACCACAAACUAAUCAGAUACAACAUUGUACUGUUUGGCACAGUGGAUGGGUAUUCCAGGAAGGUGAUGUGCCUGAGUGUUGCUACCAACAACCUUGCAUCGACU